AUUCAAUCAUUUUGUAAUAUUAAAUGCACAGAUAUAGAGAGUUGGAUAUUACAAUGGAAAAGUUGAAAAGUAAUUUUACGAAAAAUAUUUCUCGGCCGUGAUAGUCACUCGUCGCCUUAUCUGACGAUUUCUGCGCGACAUAAUCCACCUUUCUACGAACCACCCAGUCAUCCGGACUACAACGGGACCAUUCUGCUCUCCCCGUGGGAUCGCGGCGCUUGUAAACCAGCCUGUAGCUUACGUUCAAUCAAUGGAGCCUGGUAAAUCGGGGAGAACACGGAAAAUCGCGACAGAAAUCGAGACAAAUCGUUUUAAAAUGAUCGACGGAAUCGAUCAGUAGACAUCAACGGUGAUCCGGCAGAAAACACGCGACGACAAAGAGGAGUCAUCGAUUCGUAGGUAGCGACCGAGGUUUGGUUCGUUUCGACAACGCGACAGCCAUAACCAUACGCGGCAGCAGCAGCCUCUUUCCGCCCUCGAGUAUCGUAAAUAACGUUCAGGUGACAGAAUCUCCAAUUUGAGGAAACUGGGUAAGUUUGCAUCCUGAUAGGGAAAUCUGUAUGCAAACAUUAGAAUACAUUAUUAUACGAGACUAUAAAAGAAGAAGUACUCUUCUAGAAAAAUUUUCUUGUCUAUUUGACGAAGAACCAAGUGAAACGA
rnacentral:misc_RNA from 1 species